GUUCGAGCCCCGGUUCUGUGGGUUCCAGCCCUGCCAUCACAAGCCAAGCCAACGCUUCCUGAGUAAUUAAUAACGUUUUCAAGCUGUGAAGGAGAGGAAGAAUUCCUUUCAACCUCUGAAAUCGGGAAGUGCUGCCAAAAAGAUUUACACAGCUGGCAUCUCACCCCCAACACAUAAGAUCUUCAGAUGCACACAGAGAGCAUGUUCCAAACAACAAACAAAAUCACAGAUCUGAAAAAAAAAAAAAUACAACCACCACCAUCAGGGCAUGAAGAAGGUUUGGGGCUGUGUAACAACAGUGGAAAUCACUGAACAGCACAACCUAAACCUGUUCUUAGUAAUGGACCAAGAUAAGGCAUAAUGCUGUUUUCAAGGCAGGAAUUUUUCCUUUGUCAUUAAAAAAAAAAAAAAAAGGGGGGGUAACUGCAGUCCACUGUAAAAAUAAAAUAACAAAAUGGGGAAA